rnacentral:lncRNA from 10 species
UGAGAACUCCCCAGCCAUGAGAAACUAUUAUAAGCAAUUUUGGGAAAGGAUUUGACAGUAUCAUAUUUACUUCUGUGGCCCAAUUAAUGAGGAAGUUCAACACUAAUUGAAACUCAUUUAGUGAAAUGAACGCAUGCUUCAGCAAUAUUUCAAGGUUUUCCAUCAAAAAAUCCUGGAAGCAGGGACAUCCCAAUAGUAAUAAGCACACCUUGAACUCAGAUAUUGAUUUCUAAAUUUCAUUCUCACCCAGAAAGAACCAGGAGUCUCUGCAGAAAAGUUUGAUUUUAGAGAUUGGGCAGGAAAGGACAAAAUGACCUUAGAACAUCAUAUUAUACCAGAAAACAAGAAAAGGUUCAAAUGAUGAACAGAGAUGCCAAAAGAACACAGAAGGCGAUGUAAAGGACUCCCACUGGCCAAACAUGGGACAGUUUGAACAUCAAAAGAAGUAAUGAUGUUAAUGGGUAGCAGCUUAUUGAAUAAAGUAGAAACCACAAUUUACAGCGACUUACAAAAACAAAUGAAUAAAUUCAACGUCUGCAUGGUGAAGAAGCAUGGUAGGCACCACUUUAAACAAGUGAUCAAAGUUAACAUUACCAUAAAUGUGACACAUUGAGAUCUUAGGCAACCUAAUAAGAUGCAACGAGCAGAAUACAAUAUUACUUCUUUAAUAUGUUCACCUUAGAUGAACAACCUGAAUCCAGUUGUGAGUAAACAUCAGACAAAUUCAAAUUGAGAAACAUUCCAUAAAAUAUCUGGCCUCUAUCAAUAAAGGUGCCAAUGUAAGAAAGCCAAGCAAAGACUGAGAAAUCAUUUUAGAAUAAAGAAAAUUAAAGAGAUUAAUGCAUCAUACAAUUCUGAACUGAAUUCUUUUGCCAUAAGGAACACUUUGGAACAUUUGGUAAAACUCGGAUGGCAGCUUCAACUCAACUUUAAGGAAUAAAUGGUAGUAAUAUGUCAGUGCUAAUUUUGAUGGUUGUAUUGUGAUUUGCAGAAAACAUUAUCUUGCUCUAAAAACCACAUACUGAAGUAUCUGGGGGUGAUGAGACACGUGACAGCCACU